CGCACACGUUAGGGGUGCCGGCGCCCGGUGCGCGCCGGCUGAGACACACCCUCAACACCUGAUCCGGAUCAUGCCGGCGUAGGGAAACGGGCGACUUCUCGA
rnacentral:ncRNA from 2 species